rnacentral:rRNA from 1 species
GAGUGGCGGACGGGUGAGUAACGCGUAGGAAUCUGCCUCAUAGUGGGGGACAACGUGGGGAAACUCACGCUAAUACCGCAUACGCCCUACGGGGGAAAGGAGGGGAUCUUCGGACCUUUCGCUAUGAGAUGAGCCUGCGUUAGAUUAGCUAGUUGGUAGGGUAAAGGCCUACCAAGGCGACGAUCUAUAGCUGGUCUGAGAGGACGAUCAGCCACACUGGGACUGAGACACGGCCCAGACUCCUACGGGAGGCAGCAGUGGGGAAUAUUGGACAAUGGGCGAAAGCCUGAUCCAGCAAUACCGCGUGUGUGAAGAAGGCCUUAGGGUUGUAAAGCACUUUCAAUUGGGAGGAAAACCUGCCGGCCAAUACCCGGUAGCUUGACAUUACCUUUAGAAGAAGCACCGGCUAACUCCGUGCCAGCAGCCGCGGUAAUACGGAGGGUGCGAGCGUUAAUCGGAAUUACUGGGCGUAAAGCGUGCGUAGGCGGUUCGUUAAGUCAGAUGUGAAAGCCCUGGGCUCAACCUGGGAACUGCAUUUGAAACUGGCGGACUAGAGUUUAGUAGGGGGGAGUGGAAUUUCAGGUGUAGCGGUGAAAUGCGUAGAUAUCUGAAGGAACACCAGUGGCGAAGGCGACUCCCUGGACUAGAACUGACGCUGAGGUACGAAAGCGUGGGUAGCAAACAGGAUUAGAUACCCUGGUAGUCCACGCCGUAAACGAUGUCGACUAGCCGUUGGCCCUAUUUACAGGGUUAGUGGCGCAGCUAACGCAUUAAGUCGACCGCCUGGGGAGUACGGCCGCAAGGUUAAAACUCAAAUGAAUUGACGGGGGCCCGCACAAGCGGUGGAGCAUGUGGUUUAAUUCGAUGCAACGCGAAGAACCUUACCUACCC